AGCUCCAAUAGCGUAUAUUAAAGUUGUUGUUGUUCAGGAGACGAAAAAGGCCACUCUGUUCCAUACAGAAGAAUGUAAAGUUGUUGUGGUUAAAAAGCUCGUAGUUGGAUCUCAACAGCCUUGAAGCGGUUAACUUUGUAGUUUUACUGCUUUGUAGGCUGUGCUUUUGCUGGAGGUUUAGGGGUGCUCUUGAUCGAGUGUCUCUGGAUGCCAGCAGGUUUACUUUGAAAAAUUAGAGUGCUCAAAGCAGGCUAAAAUGCCUGAAGAUUCGUGCAUGGAAUAAUAGAAUAGGAUGUCGAUCCUAUUUUGUUGGUUUUCGGGACUCGACAUAAUGAUAAAUAGGGACAGUCGGGGGCAUUUGUAUUCAAACGACAGAGGUGAAAUUCUUGGACCGUCUGAAGACAAACUACUGCGAAAGCAUUUGCCAAGAAUGUUUUCA
rnacentral:rRNA from 1 species